GAUGAACGCUGGCGGCGUGCCUAAGACAUGCAAGUCGAGCGAACGGACGAGAAGCUUGCGUCUCUGAUGUUAGCGGCGGACGGGGGAGGAACACGUGGAUAACCUACCUAUAGGACUGGGAUGACUUCGGGAAACCGGAGCUAAUACCGGAUGAUAUUUUGAACUGCAUGGUUCAAAAGUGAAAGACGGUCUUGCUGUCACUUAUAGAUGUAUCCGCGCUGCAUUAGCUAGUUGGUAAGGUAACGGCUUACCAAGGCAACUAUGCAUAGCCGACCUGAGAGGGCGAUCGGCUAAAGUGGAACUGAAACACGGUCCUGACUCCUACGAGAGGCAGCAGAAGGGAAUCUUCCGCAAUGGGCGAAAGCCUGACGGAGCAAAGCCGCGUGAGUGCUGAAGGUCUUCGGGUCGUAAAAAUCUGAUAUUAGGGAAUAACAUAGGUGUUAGUAACUGCGCUCAUCAUGACGGUACCUAAUCAGACAGCCACGGCUAACUACGUG
rnacentral:rRNA from 1 species